ACUCUGNUCCNGCCAUGCCGCGUGUAGGAAGANUGCCCUAUGGGUUGUAAACUACUUUUAUAUGGGAAGAAUAAGGUCUACGUGUAGACUGAUGACGGUACCAUAAGAAUAAGCACCGGCUAACUCCGUGCCAGCAGCCGCGGUAAUACGGAGGGUGCAAGCGUUAUCCGGAAUCAUUGGGUUUAAAGGGUCCGUAGGCGGGCAUAUAAGUCAGUGGUGAAAGUCUGUGGCUCAACCAUAGAAUUGCCAUUGAUACUGUAUGUCUUGAAUUAUUGUGAAGUGGUUAGAAUAUGUAGUGUAGCGGUGAAAUGCUUAGAGAUUACAUAGAAUACCGAUUGCGAAGGCAGAUCACUAACAAUAUAUUGACGCUGAUGGACGAAAGCGUAGGUAGCGAACAGGAUUAGAU
rnacentral:rRNA from 1 species